rnacentral:rRNA from 1 species
UACGAAGGGGACUAGCGUUGUUCGGAAUCACUGGGCGUAAAGCGCACGUAGGCGGCUGUGUCAGUCAGGGGUGAAAUCCCGGGGCUCAACCUCGGAACUGCCUUUGAUACAGCACGUCUCGAGUCCGGAAGAGGUGGGUGGAAUUCCUAGUGUAGAGGUGAAAUUCGUAGAUAUUAGGAAGAACACCGGUGGCGAAGGCGGCAAUCUGGACCGAUACUGACGCUGAGGCGCGAAAGCGUGGGGAGCAAACAGG